UACGUAGGGGGCAAGCGUUGUCCGGAUUUAUUGGGCGUAAAGAGCGUGUAGGCGGCCAAGCAGGUCAGCUGUGAAAACUCGAGGCUCAACCUCGAGACGUCGGUUGAAACCGUUUGGCUAGAGUCCGGAAGAGGAGAGUGGAAUUCCCGGUGUAGCGGUGAAAUGCGCAGAUAUCGGGAAGAACACCCGCGGCGAAGGCGGCUCUCUGGGACGGUACUGACGCUGAGACGCGAAAGCGUGGGGAGCGAACAGG
rnacentral:rRNA from 1 species